rnacentral:rRNA from 1 species
AGUCAUAUGCUUGUUUCAAAGAUUAAGCCAUGCAUGUCUAAGUAUAAGCAACUAUACAGUGAAACUGCGAAUGGCUCAUAAUUCAGUUAUCGUUUAUUUGAUAGUUGCUUUCUACAUGGUAUACCUGUGGUAAUUCUAGAGCUAAUACAUGCUAUAUAGCUACAAAACUCGUCAGAGUUGUAGUCGAUUAGAUAAAAAACCAAUGCUUCGGGCUCUUUUGGUGAUUCAUAAUAAUUUUUCGAGCGUUUGAAUUAUUUCACGGAUGGUUCCUUCAAAUUUCUGCCCUAUCAGCUUUCGAUGGUAGGAUAGUGGCNUACCAUGGUUUCAACGGGUAACGGGGAAUAAGGGUUCGAUUCCGGAGAGGGAGCCUGAGAAACGGCUACCACAUCCAAGGAAGGCAGCAGGCGCGCAAUUGAGCCAAUCGUGACAUCAGGGAGGUAGUGACAAUACAUACUGAUUCAGGUCUAGUGACGGUCUUGUAUAAUCGGAAUGAGAACAAUUUAAUUUAAGUUAUCGAGGAAAGAUUGGAGGGCAAGUCUGGUGCCAGCAGCCGCGAAAUUCCAGCUCCAAUAGCGUAUAUUAAAGUCUGCAGUUAAAAAGCUCGUAGUCGAACCUAAGGCCCGGUUGGUCGGUCCCACUUUUUUGUGCGUACUUGGCUUCACCGGCUUUAUUGCCCCGGACGUCUAUCUGCGUUUAAUCGCGUGGGUAGAAAAGUCAGGCCUUUUACUGUGAGAAAAUUAGAGUGUUCAAGCAGGCUUCGCUCGAUAUAUUAGCAUGGAAUAAUAGAAUAAGACGUAUGGUUAUAUUUUGUUGGUUUCUAAAAUCAUCGUAAUAAUAAAUAGGACAGAUCGGGGGUGGACGUAUUCAGAUGUUAGAGGUGAAAUUCUAUGAUCAUCUGAGGACGCACUACUGCGAAAGCAUUCACCAAGGAUGUUUUCAUUAAUCAAGAACGAAAGUUAGGGGAUCGAAGACGAUUAGAUACCGUCGUAGUCUUAACCGUAAACUAUGCCGACUAAGGAUCGGGUGGGCGCUUUUUUAGCCUACUCGGCACUUUAUGAGAAAUUAAAGUUUUUAGGUUCUGGGGGGAGUAUGGUCGCAAGGCUGAAACUUAAAGGAAUUGACGGAAGGGCACCACCAGGAGUGGAGCCUGCGGCUAAUUUGACUCAACACGGGGAAAUCCAGACACAAUAAGGAUUGACAGGAUUUGAGAGCACUUUCUUGAUUUUGUGAGUGGUGGUGCAUGGCCGUUCUUAGUUGGUGGAGUGAUUUGUCUGCUUAAUUGCGAUAACGAACGAGACCUUGACCUACUAGUUGGUGUGGCUAACAUUUUGUGGGUUCAUUACCCCUUAGAGGACUAUCAGAGAAAAUCUGAUGGAAGUUCGAGGCAAUAACAGGUCUGUGAUGCCCUUAGACGUUCUGGGCGGAACGCGCGCUACACUGAUACAGCCAGCGAGUUCAUAUCCUUGCCCGAGAGGGUUGGGUAAUCUUGUUAAACUGUAUCGUGCUGGGGAUAGUCCGUUGCAAUUUUCGGACUUGAACGAGGAAUUCCUAGUAAGCGCAAGUCAUCAGCUUGCGUUGAUUACGUCCCUGCCCUUUGUACACACCGCCCGUCGUUACUACCGAUUGAAUGGCUUAGUGAAGCCUCCGGAUGUGAACUCUCUUGUGGGCAACCGCAAUGAGUUUGCAAAAGUUGGAUGAACUUGGUCAUUUAGAGGAAGUACAAGUCGUAACAAGGUUUCCGUAGGUGAACUGCGGA